rnacentral:tRNA from 1 species
CGGAGCGUAGCGCAGCCUGGUUAGCGCACCAGUCUGGGGGACGUGGGGGUCGGAGGUUCAAAUCCUCUCGCUCCGA